rnacentral:rRNA from 1 species
AACGAACGCUGGCGGCAGGCCUAACACAUGCAAGUCGAACGGAUCCUUCGGGAUUAGUGGCGGACGGGUGAGUAACGCGUGGGAACAUACCCAAAGGUACGGAAUAGCCUCGGGAAACUGGGAGUAAUACCGUAUGUGCUCGAAAGAGGAAAGAUUUAUCGCCUUUGGAUUGGCCCGCGUUGGAUUAGGUAGUUGGUGGGGUAAUGGCCUACCAAGCCGACGAUCCAUAGCUGGUUUGAGAGGAUGAUCAGCCACACUGGGACUGAGACACGGCCCAGACUCCUACGGGAGGCAGCAGUGGGGAAUCUUAGACAAUGGGGGAAACCCUGAUCUAGCCAUGCCGCGUGAUCGAUGAAGGCCUUAGGGUUGUGAAGAUCUUUCAGGUGGGAAGAUAAUGACUGUACCACCAGAAGAAGCCCCGGCUAACUCCGUGCCAGCCGCCGCCGUAAAAC